CACAGCUCGGCAAUUAACAAUGGAGCGAAUACUAUUUUUGACCGAGUAACUUGAUAAAAAUGAAACAAGGAAUUGGCUGCGUAGCCCGCAAAGUCAGCCAUUUCUAUCAAAUCAUAGUCGAGUGACGAACGUGUCUGUUGAAGCGCCGCCUCAGCACCUACAAGGCAGAUUCAAAUUUACAUUAAAAACUUUUCAUCAUCAUUGUGAAUUUUAAUCAAACUAUUAUAGAAGAGCAAGAUGCAGAAGACAAACUAUUAGGGCUCAAAAACAGCCAUGGAAAACCGUAGAACUAAAGUGGCAAGACUCUACAGGGACGAAGCUAAUUGCUGCAAAAUAGUUAACUAUAGCUCCAAUACCUCAAUACAAUGAAUAUGCGGCUCUUAAAAAACCCAAAGGAUAUCUUCUGCUAGAAAAAGAUUGUGAAAACCAAAGGACAAUAUAUCACUGAAAGCUUCCCCACAAUCAAGCUAAAAAUAUUUGAAUUAGUAAGUUACUUCUGAUCAAGCAAGAUAUUGUCAUAUACUUAUUACUUUAUUAAAUACCUAAGUAUAACUUUAGUAAAUUUAUACAUUAGGUAUAACAUUAGGUAGGAUAUAGUUCCCAUAUAAUAUGUAAAGAGCUUAUUGUACUUUAAUUUUUUUUUGGUGCAAAAAAUGUUUAAGUUUUAGCAUUUAUGAUCAUUUUCCCGACGACGAAUGUGAAUUAUGUUUCAAUGAGAAUAAAUUCAAAUGUUUAAAAUAACGGUUUUACUUG